GGAAAAAGCCAGUUUGAUCUCUGUUGAGGUACUUCAUUUCAUACUCUUGUUGACUACAAUGGCUACCCCAUUUCUUCUAAGGGAUUCUUGCCCACAGUAGUAGAUAUAAUGGUCAUCUGAGUUAAAUUCACCCAUUCCAGUCCAUUUUAGUUCACUGAUUCCUAA